rnacentral:rRNA from 1 species
ACGGGAGGCAGCAGUGGGGAAUCUUCCGCAAUGGGCGAAAGCCUGACGGAGCAACGCCGCGUGAGUGAAGAAGGUCUUCGGAUCGUAAAGCUCUGUUGAGAGGGACGAGAGAUUACUUCAGGAAAUGGGAGUAAGAGGACGGUACCUUUCGAGGAAGCCACGGCUAACUACGUGCCAGCAGCCGCGGUAAUACGUAGGUGGCGAGCGUUGUCCGGAAUUAUUGGGCGUAAAGGGAGCGCAGGUGGGACUUCAAGUCAGCCUUAAAAGUGCGGGGCUCAACCCCGUGAUGGGAUUGAAACUGUAGUUCUUGAGUGCAGGAGAGGAAAGCGGAAUUCCUAGUGUAGCGGUGAAAUGCGUAGAUAUUAGGAGGAACAUCGGUGGCGAAGGCGGCUUACUGGGCCUUUACUGACGCUGAGGCACGAAAGCGUGGGGAGCAAACAGGAUUAGAUACCCUGGUA